rnacentral:rRNA from 1 species
GAUGAACGCUGGCGGCGUGCUUAACACAUGCAAGUCGAACGGGAAUUCUUUUAUUGUCACUUCUGUCGAUUUAAUUUACUUCUAGUGGCGGACGGGUGAGUAACGCGUGGGUAACCUGCCUUAUACAGGGGGAUAACAGUCAGACAUGGCUGCUAAUACCGCAUAAGCGCACAGAGCUGCAUGGCUCAGUGUGAAAAACUCCGGUGGUAUAAGAUGGACCCGCGUUGGAUUAGCUUGUUGGCAGGGUAACGGCCUACCAAGGCGACGAUCCAUAGCCGGCCUGAGAGGGGGAACGGUCACAUUGGGACUGAGGCACGGCCCAGACUCCUACGGGAGGCAGCAGUGGGGAAUAUUGCACAAUGGGGGAAACCCUGAUGCAGCGACGCCGCGUGAAGGAAGAAGUAUCUCGGUAUGUAAACUUCUAUCAGCAGGGAAGAUAGUGACGGUACCUGACUAAGAAGCCCCGGCUAACUACGUG